CUACGGGAUGCAGCAGUUAGGGAUAUUCGGCAAUGGGGGAAACCCUGACCGAGCAAUGCCGCGUGAACGAAGAAGUAUUUCGAUAUGUAAAGUUCUGUUGUUAAGGAAGAAAGGUAGUAAUAGGAAAUGAUUAUUAUUUGACGGUACUUAACCAGAAAGCCCCGGCUAACUACGUGCCAGCAGCCGCGGUAAUACGUAGGGGGCGAGCGUUAUCCGGAAUUAUUGGGCGUAAAGGGUGCGUAGGCGGCCAUAUAAGUCUAAGUUGAAAGCCCACGGCUUAACCGUGGAGGGUGCUUAGAAACUGUAUGGCUUGAAUCCAGAAGAGGCAAGUGGAAUUCUAUGUGGAGCGGUGGCAUGCGUAGAUAUAUGGAGGAACACCAGUGGCGAAGGCGGCUUGCUGGGCUGGUAUUGACGCUGAUGCACGAAAGCGUGGGGAGCAAACAGGAUUAGAUACCCUAGUAGUC
rnacentral:rRNA from 1 species